GCCGGCGUCGGCGGGCGUAUUUCGCCUCACAGUAGGUCGCCGCGACCCGUUGCUUUUGGGGACGUCGAAGGCCCGGACGGAUUGGUACCCUACCGGCUGGGGAUGCGGCUUCGGCUUCUCCUCUUGUCCGGUGGGCGAAACCGCCGGUGUCCUGGCUGCCCUGCGACGGUCGUAGAGACGAGCCCUCCCCUUCGGGGGGGCGGCUCUCGCGGCGUGCAAAAGGUCGGUGAUCCACCCGACCCGUCUUGAAACACGGACCAAGGAGUCUAACAUGUGUGCGAGUCAGUGGGCGCACUAAACCCAGAGGCGUAAUGAAAGUGACACGGGUUCGGCUGUCGCCUCGUGUGGCAGCCGGACUCAGGGCCGAUCCCUCACCGGUUGCCCUCGCUUCUCUCCCGCGUCUCGGUAAGCCGGGUGAGCUAUUUUCCCCGGCCGCUGCUGCGGGGCUCGGGGGGAGGCGGGGUUGCGAUGGUGUCCGUAAAAAAGAGCCUGCUGUUGCAGGGGGGCGCAGGCCCGGGACUUGCCAGGACGCCGCGAGACUGUCACUUUGCUGUGAGGCUCUCGGGCCGAUCAGCGGGUCAUGCGUGCAGUCGGCAAGUACCAUGAGCAGACAUGUUGGGACCCGAAAGAUGGUGAACUAUGCCUGGCCAGGAUGAAGCCAGAGGAAACUCUGGUGGAGGUCCGUA
rnacentral:rRNA from 1 species